rnacentral:rRNA from 1 species
UACGGGGGGGGCAAGCGUUGUUCGGAAUUACUGGGCGUAAAGGGCUCGUAGGCGGCCAACUAAGUCGGAUGUGAAAUCCCCAGGCUCAACUUGGGAACUGCAUCCGAUACUGGAUGGCUUGAGUUCGGGGGAGGGAUGCAGAAUUCCAGGUGUAGCGGUGAAAUGCGUAGAUAUCUGGAGGAAUACCGGUGGCGAAGGCGGCAUCCUGGACCGACAUUGACGCUGAGGAGCGCAAGCUAGGGGAGCAAACGGG